rnacentral:rRNA from 1 species
GACGAACGCUGGCGGCGUGCUUAACACAUGCAAGUCGUACGGUAAGGCCCUUUCGGGGGUACACGAGUGGCGAACGGGUGAGUAACACGUGAGUAACCUGCCCACCACUUUGGGAUAACGCUAGGAAACUGGUGCUAAUACUGGAUAUGUGCUCCUGCUGCAUGGUGGGGGUUGGAAAGCUCCGGCGGUUGUGGAUGGACUCGCGGCCUAUCAUCUUGUUGGUGGGGUAGUGGCCUACCAAGGCGGCGACGGGUAGCCGGCCUGAGAGGGUGACCGGCCACAUUGGGACUGAGAUACGGCCCAGACUCCUACGGGAGGCAGCAGUGGGGAAUAUUGCACAAUGGGCGCAAGCCUGAUGCAGCAACGCCGCGUGCGGGAUGACGGCCUUCGGGUUGUAAACCGCUUUCAGCAGGGACGAAGCUUUUUGUGACGGUACCUGCAGAAGAAGCACCGGCUAACUACGUG